rnacentral:rRNA from 1 species
AGCCUGCGAAGGUAAGCAAAUCCCAAAAAUAAAGUCCCAGUUCGGACUGCAGUCUGCAACUCGACUGCACGAAGCUGGAAUCGCUAGUAAUCGCAGAUCAGAAUGCUGCGGUGAAUACGUUCCCGGGUCUUGUACACACCGCCCGUCACACCAUGGGAGUCAGUAACGCCCGAAGUCAGUGACCUAACCGCAAGGGAGGAGCUGCCGAAGGCGGGACCGAUAACUGGGGUGAAGUCGUAACAAGGUAGC